rnacentral:rRNA from 1 species
ACGAACGCUUGCGGCGUGCCUAAUGUAUGCAAGUCGAGCGGUGAAGGAGCUUCGGCUCCGGAUCAGCGGCGAACGGUUGAGUAACACGUAGGCAACCUGCCCCGAAGUGGGGGAUAACUCAUCGAAAGGUGGGCUAAUACCGCAUGUGGAAGCCGACUGCCUGGUUGGUUUUCCAAAGCAGCAAUGCGCUUCGGGAUGGGCCUGCGGCCUAUCAGCUUGUUGGUGGGGUAACGGCCUACCAAGGCUUCGACGGGUAGCUGGUCUGAGAGGAUGGUCAGCCAGACAGGGACUGAGACACGGCCCUGACUCCUUUGGGGGGCAGCAAUGAGGGAUAUUGCACAAUGGGGGAAACCCUGAUGCAGCGACGCCGCGUGGGUGAUGAAGUCUUUCGGGAUGUAAAGCCCUUUUACCGGGGAAGAGAAUGGACGGUACCCGGUGAAUAAGCCCCGGCUAACUACGU